UACGUAGGGGGCAAGCGUUGUCCGGAUUUAUUGGGCGUAAAGAGCGUGUAGGCGGUUUGGUAGGUCCGCUGUGAAAACUCGAGGCUCAACCUCGAGACGCCGGUGGAAACCAUCAGGCUAGAGUCCGGAAGAGGAGAGCGGAAUUCCUGGUGUAGCGGUGAAAUGCGCAGAUAUCAGGAAGAACACCCGUGGCUAAGGCGGCUCUCUAGUACGGUACUGACGCUGAGACGCGAAAGCGUGGGGAGCGAACAGG
rnacentral:rRNA from 1 species